UAGGCCUAUCUACCACCACCAAAAAAGUAUAAAACCUUUAGAUUUAGGUAGGCUCACAAUGAAAACUGUUAGAUCAAAGUUCAAAAGGCCCUUCUUUAUUUGCUUCGUUUGACAAAUAAAAGCACAUUGCUUAGUACUCUUCAUCUGAUAAGCUUUUACAUAGAAAGAUGAUAAAUAUACUUUGUCUAAUAGAUGAUAAGCCUUAAGCAUUUCAUAGUACAUAUAAAAGAUUUUAAAUGCUCAUAAUUUGUGUGCAGGGAAUGCUUGUCUCUUCAUUUCUUUCAAGAGAAUCUUGCUUUGAAGUGUCAAUAUCAAGAUCUCUUGAAGAGAGUACUUAAAGCCGAAAACAACUUCUCUAAAAAGGUGGACAGUUAGUGCCGCAGAGUCAACAAUCUAUGUCCCAUGCAUUUUGCUAAAGUCUAAAGAAGCUAUCUGACUAGAAUUGAUAAAUCAUGUGUAAAAGAGGCCACAUGCAUUUAAGUAGUGACACAACUCUUACAAUACUUGUCUCAAUGCUUUCAAGCAAUCCUAAGUCUUCUAUGUAUGAGAAAAGAACAAUGUUGAUGUUCAUAGCUAACUAAAAGAGUGCUCUCAAACUUUUAUCUAUCUUAGGAUGCUAAUCUCUUUUAAUGAGCAAAAACAUUUGGAUCUUUUAGAUCACAAACUUUGUUUAUCGAAGUGUGGGUCCAAACAAUGCUCAUGCUUAGCUAGAAGUGGCUUUUUCCAAACAAUACUUGUAGUUUAGCUAGAAGUGGUUGGUUCUAAUCAGUCUUGCAUGAUAGGAUCUAAGGUAAGAGGAUAGAAGGAAGAAGAAAUGAGAGAGCAGUUAAGAAAGAUGGGAAAAUGAGAGAGCGGUUAGGAAAGGCGGGAUGGGAGAUCUUAUAUAAAUAAAGUUCUAUUCAUUGUGAGAGAGGAGUUUUUUUGAAUAUUAUUUUGUAAAUCUGGACAUUGGCCAGAAGAGGGGGAUUAGGCCUCCAUUAGCGCUAUCAGUGUACUUUGUUCUCAAUAUCAAUACAGAAAUCUAUUCUUUCUUUGUUCUUUUGAUUACUGUGAGCGUUGAUAGUUAGGUUUGCAACCUAGGAACCUAACAUUGCAUCUCAUGUUAGUGUAGACUUGAUCGGAUUGAUCAAGAACUGGAUGUAGUUUGUGUUUUAGACGAACCAAUAUAAAAAUACCCUAUGUAAAUCUC
rnacentral:sRNA from 1 species